GAAUCUCCUCGGCCUUUUGGCUAAGAUCAAAGUGUAGUAUCUGUUCUCAUCAGCUUAAUAUCUGAUACGAUCCCUAUUUUGGGCCAUCGAUACUAAACUGAUUUUUAGAACGGGGCGAAGUGUUAGGGGUUUGCUCUGCCUUUGCCACAGGUCGGCCUGGUAUUGCGGUGCUUCCAGAAUUUAGCCCAUUUCUA